GUGCCAGCAGCCGCGGUAAUACGGAGGAUCCGAGCGUUAUCCGGAUUUAUUGGGUUUAAAGGGUGCGUAGGCGGCUUUUUAAGUCAGGGGUGAAAGACGGCAGCUCAACUGUCGCAGUGCCUUUGAUACUGAAGAGCUUGAAUGCACUUGAAGUAGGCGGAAUGUGACAAGUAGCGGUGAAAUGCAUAGAUAUGUCACAGAACACCAAUUGCGAAGGCAGCUUACUAAAGUGUGAUUGACGCUGAGGCACGAAAGCGUGGGGAUCAAACAGGAUUAGAUACCCUAGUAGUCC
rnacentral:rRNA from 1 species